UGGCUGCACAGGUGCGCACCUUAGAGGGAACUAUGCUCUGCACUACAGUUUUAUCAAUAAAUAUAAUAGUACAUCCCCCUAUCUUACAGGGAGGAUAAGUACCUGCAGUACUCAAAUACUAUGGUAACCAGGGCCAGCCAUGUGUGUAAUAGUUUUAGAUAGCUGGAUACAAACAUUUUUAUAGAACAGGUGAACAAAAGCUUCCUAGAAGUGGGGACCCACCAGUGCCCGAACUAUCUCCGCAUGACUCCUUGCACUAAGGGCCCCCUCUCCUCCGUUCACUCCUUUCUGCCUGCUCUCCCCUGUUGCUCAUCCUUACUGCCAGUAAAAAUUGAUGGGGCCAUGACUCCCUGUACCACCCUGUUCUGGUGCUCUGUUCUAGAGCUCUUACUGCAGAGGCAAUCAUACAUGAGGUUUUGGCCUCCAGGGCUGUCAUUUUGGCACCUUUCUCCAUCAUAAAAUUCAUUCAAAAAUUAGGAAAGGAGCUAAUUAGACACUUCCAUUGAUGCAGCAUAUCUUUGUUUAAAAAAAACCCACCUUUAUGUGAGAAGCAGAUUAAGGUACUUGAAGCCAAUUAGUUAAGCUUUAACAGAUGGAAGUGCUGCCCGUUUCCAUUUAAUUAAUAUGAACAUAUCAAUUCAAAAUCAUAUUUAAGUAAAGUCCAAGUGUUACAAUGGGUUUGUGCAGUAUCUGUCUGCCUUAUCGGACACGAUCCAGCUUUUGCUGCUGACUUCAUACUCAGCAUCCUGCACUAGCCCUAGAGGACCCUGCCUCACCCCUUUGCAGUUUUCAUUGCACUACAAUUUCCCUUAGCAAUCACUGGCAGCUGAAUUUUUCCUGUUAUUGCUCCUUAUGCAACUCACUUGGCUCUUCUGCCUAAGGCCAUAGGUUCUGCAUAACCACAUUCAGACCUGAAAUCUCAUCAAGUGACAUUUGUUACCCUACUAUCUGGACCUCUGCCUUAUUCCAAUCCCUUCCUUGCACCCCACAUAUCUCAUGCUGCUGCAGUAGGAAGGGAUUUGGAUAAUACAGCAGUUAUAUUAGAAUGGAGAUCUCCAAAAACAGUGUGAGGGACUUUCUGCAGCCCCACAUUCCUGCGUGGUGCAAACAGCAAGGAAGGCUGGGGGUGGGGGUAGAGAGUAGAGUCUUGGCCAGGGGUCUGUUCUCUAAUCUGCCUUGCACCUGCAGGGACUGGAUAUCACUGAGUGAGCAAGGCUGAGCAGAGACCACCCACCAAACUGCGAGAGGGAAGAGGAUAAGCAAAGCCACACUGCUGGAUAGUUCAGCAUCCACGCAUAUGACCCCUCUGGCCCUGCCAGGAGAUGACUCGCUUGACAGCAGUCUUCAUCUCUGAAGCAAAACCCACAAAAACCAACAAAAAGAACUUGAGAAAAAUGUUUUGUGACUAAGCUCUUCAUUUCCUGGUCUGUGUCAGGAUCCAUCACUGUAAGAUGGGCAUUUGUGAGGCUUCUCAGCAGAGAUUAGACGCCACCCUGCCGAUUAACAGAGAGCCCAGAGUUCUCCACCAGGAUGAGAAGAGUAGCCCAAGUCGACAGGAGAGCAGUCCCCACCAACCUAACAACACAGAAACACCAUGGUAAGUACGUUGAUUUCAGCUAUGCUAUUUGUGUAGCUGAAAUUACGUAGAUUAGAUUAAUGGGGGUGGAGGGUUAGUGCAGACAAGGCCUGUGUGCUGGUAUAAGUCACAGAAGUGUAAGUCAGUAGUGAAUCAGGCCCGCUGGUUGGACAUUAGGGACAAUUUUCUGACCAUUUGGAUAGUUAACUAGAACUAGAGAUUGUAGAAUCCCUAUAAUUGUUUUUAAGAACAGAUGGGCCAAAUACCUGUUAGAGAUGGUCUAUGUUUACUUGGUCCUGUCUCAGCAGGACUAAAUGACCUCUCAAGGUCCUUUCCAGCUUUAUGUUUCUCUUAUUCAACUUAUGUAUCAUCUAGAAGAACUCAUUGCUGGGAAACUUCUCAUACUGUGUCUCACAUGUUUCUUUGUUCAGUUUCUGCUCUUUGCUCCUAGUUCAGACCAGUUUGAAUUGUUCUGAACUAGUCCUCUCCCUCUGUGGUGUUUACGUCACUCAUAUCCUUUUGGGAGAGUUUUCCUAUUUGCCAGCAUAUAGACUGAUGAAAAUUAAACAUUAAAAGACAAACAGACCUAAACUAAUUCCCAAUCCACAGGGAAAAAAGUUUAUUUGCAGGAUGAAUUUAACUGGCCUAUGAUGUUGUGUCUCUUUUUUGUUAUCUGUUUAUUAUUUCUUUUUUACAUACCUCCAGGAACUAGUCUGCUUGUGUACUUCUAUUUUUAGCUCUGCUUUUAUCUACAAGCUUUUCUUUCUAAACCGGUAUGAUGCAGACAAGGAAAGAUCUACAUUUCUAUAGGCAGCUUUUUUAUUCCAUUGACAAGUUGCAUGUUUUGAGUCCAUUGACAAGUUUCAGAGGGAUGUGUGCUCUCUUAGAGUUCAGGAUAUUUAGCUCUAGAGCUUCCUUCGGGGCUCACACCAUUGCAGGUUUCCUGUUUUGUGCAUGACACAAUGA